CUUUGUUGAGGCAUCAUGGAAAGAAUACAACACAGAGACCGGAGAUUCGUAGUGAACCAGAAAUUACAAGACUACAGAGCUGUCCUCACUGUCUAUAACAUCUUGAACGCGCUGGACCAACAUUUCAACAUGCAAAAUGGUCAAAGUGUAUUGGCUCCUGUCGAAAAAUCUCCACAACCAGCAGUCGCCAAAUGGACUCCAAGUGAUGACCAAAAAGAAGGAAACGUCAUUGGAGCUAAAGCGAAGAAAAUUUAUAUGAACGACAAUCUCAGUACUUUGGACAGGAUCGUCUUGUGCUUCGCUGAAUUCCUAGGAACAGGCAUGCUUAUAUUUAUUGGUUGUAUGGGGUGUGCCAAUAUGGGAAGUUUGCCUGAUCCCAUGAAGGUGUCUUUCGCUUUUGGAUUAGCGAUAAUGAUAGCAGUACAAUGUUUUGGACAUAUCUCAGGGAGUCAUAUCAAUCCUGCUGUUACAGUAGCUGCAGUCAUUUUGGGUCAUACACCAGUGAUGCAUAUUCCACUUUAUUUCAUAGGACAGUUAUUAGGAGGAAUUGGAGGCUUUGGUUUAUUGAAGGCUCUAAGUCCAGUAGAAGCCACUGAACCAAUAGUGAAUGGAACCACAACCCACAUCUGUUCACCAGGUCCUCUCAGCAGCGACUUGCACCCUUGGCAAGGAGUUGGCGUAGAAUUCGCUUUAACAUUCAUCCUGGUCAUGCUGUGUGCUGCAGUUUGGGAUUGCCGGAACACCGAUAAAGUGGACUCAUUGUCCAUCAGGCUUGGUUUGGCUGUAGCUGUAUUGGCAAUGGUUGGAGCCUCCUACACUGGAGCUAACAUGAAUCCAGCAAGAAGCUUUGGUCCAGCUUUAAUCAAUGGAGACUGGGAUAAUUGGUGGGUACCUAUGCAAUGUGUAUCUUCCACGAAACCUCGCUGGAUACGAUGAAGUUGUGAUACAACCCAUCAGCCGUUUGAAUGAUAAAGCAUCGUUCUGAGGCAGAAGCUCUGACUUUAGGCUAAGGGCUGGCCCUGUAGAUGGCGCCAAAGAUUGUCCGCGCAAAGUGAUGACCCCUGUUUUCCAUGAUACCAAGAAUCUCCAAGGCAAUAAGACAAGUUUGCUAAAAUGCUCCUACUCGAAUUAUGACAAAAAAAUUAUUUUUAAAUUUAGGUAAUGUAGGGGCUUAUUUCUCCGUUAAGAUACAUCGGCUGAUCGGCAAAACAAUGUUAACAAAAUUACACACCAGAAGAGGCAAUAUUUGGUGGGUUGGACCAAUGCUAGGAGGAUUGGUAGCAGGAUUACUGUACAGGAUUAUAUUCAGCAAGGAGUACGAUAUGUUGGAGCAUUCUAUUGCCGAAGUGGUACCGAUGAACGAAAGAGCUUGAUAAACUAGAAA